GGCUGAGUCCUGCAGGAAUUCUCAAGUACUGUAUUGAUAUUUCUGUAGUAAGCUUAAAAGAGAAUUAAUACAAGCACAGUCCGUAUCGCGUGGGGUUACCGUCUUCCAAUGGAGUCUGGUUACACGUUUAUGAGACUUGGAGCCAAGAAAUACUACUCGCUUGUCGAGGGCUACUGAGAAAAGAAUAAAGACGGUCAUAAAUGAUACAUGAUGCCUUAGAGUCAAGAGAAGGCCAGAUGCUGUCUUGGUGCGCUGUACAAGGGAAGGUAUUGCACAAGUUUGGAGCGAGAGGAAUGGGAGACAUUCGCAAUCCUUCCACAGCCGGUGGAGGCAGGCCAACCUCACAGAAUUGCACGGGGCACGUGCAUCCUGUUCUUUUUUCUGGAGGCGUUUGGUCUUCAGCACACGCUCAUUCAUCACAUUAAUGUUAACAUCUACAACUAAUUUGUGAAUUUGCUUUUUAUUGUAUGACAUCUGUAAACACUAGG
rnacentral:lncRNA from 10 species